UACCAGCACCCCGAGUGGUCGGGACGAUUAUUGGGCCUAAAGCAUCCGUAGCCGGUCUUGCAAGUCUUCCGUUAAAUCCAGCUGCUUAACGGAUGGGCUGCGGAAGAUACUGCAAGACUAGGAGGCGGGAGAGGCAAGCGGUACUCAGUGGGUAGGGGUAAAAUCCUCUGAUCCAUUGAAGACCACCAGUGGCGAAGGCGGCUUGCCAGAACGCGCUCGACGGUGAGGGAUGAAAGCUGGGGGAGCAAACCGG
rnacentral:rRNA from 1 species